rnacentral:rRNA from 1 species
UUUAUGGAGAGUUUGAUCCUGGCUCAGGAUGAACGCUGGCGGCGUGCCUAAUACAUGCAAGUCGAGCGAACUGACGAGGAGCUUGCUCCUUUGACGUUAGCGGCGGACGGGUGAGUAACACGUG